rnacentral:rRNA from 1 species
AGGUAACAUCAAAUCGUACCCCAAACCGACACAGGUGGUCAGGUAGAGAAUACCAAGGCGCUUGAGAGAACUCGGGUGAAGGAACUAGGCAAAAUGGUGCCGUAACUUCGGGAGAAGGCACGCUGAUACGUAGGUGAAGUCCCUCGCGGAUGGAGCUGAAAUCAGUCGAAGAUACCAGCUGGCUGCAACUGUUUAUUAAAAACACAGCACUGUGCAAACACGAAAGUGGACGUAUACGGUGUGACGCCUGCCCGGUGCCGGAAGGUUAAUUG